UGGGGAAUAUUGGACAAUGGGGGCAACCCUGAUCCAGCAAUGCCGCGUGUGUGAAGAAGGUUUUCGGAUUGUAAAGCACUUUCGGCGGGGACGAUGAUGACGGUACCCGCAGAAGAAGCCCCGGCUAACUUCGUGCCAGCAGCCGCGGUAAUACGAAGGGGGCUAGCGUUGCUCGGAAUGACUGGGCGUAAAGGGCGUGUAGGCGGUUUGUACAGUCAGAUGUGAAAA
rnacentral:rRNA from 1 species